AAUGAAUCGAUGACGAGAAGAGUAGGAUAUAAGUUGUUUUUUAGAGAGUCGGCGGUUGGUGGGAGCCGAUAACAAUAAAUAUCUGAAGAUCAUCUCUGAGAUGUGUAGCUGAAAAAGCUUAGAAGUAAGCUAUACCGGACCAAUCCACCGUUAAAUGGAAACCGUACAGGCACAUGUACGAUAAUCGAGAGCCACAGCUGGUGAAAACAAUAUGCUGUGGAAGUAGGGUGGUAACGCGAGCUAACUCGUCCCUAUC
rnacentral:ncRNA from 1 species